GGGGAAUUAGCUCAAAUGGUAUAGAGCGCUCGCUUGCAGCGUGCGAGAAGUACGUGGGAUCGAUGCCGCACAUUCCCACA
rnacentral:tRNA from 1 species